GAGUUUGAUCGUGGCUCAGAUUGAACGCUAGCGGGAUGCUUUACACAUGCAAGUCGAACGGCAGCGCGGACUUCGGUCUGGCGGCGAGUGGCGAACGGGUGAGUAAUGUAUCGGAACGUGCCCAGUAGCGGGGGAUAACUACGCGAAAGCGUGGCUAAUACCGCAUACGCCCUAUGGGGGAAAGGCGGGGAUCCUUCGGGACCUGUCACUAUUGGAGCGGCCGAUAUCGGAUUAGCUAGUUGGUGGGGUAAUGGCCUACCAAGGCGACGAUCCGUAGCUGGUUUGAGAGGACGACCAGCCACACUGGGACUGAGACACGGCCCAGACUCCUACGGGAGGCAGCAGUGGGGAAUUUUGGACAAUGGGGGCAACCCUGAUCCAGCCAUCCCGCGUGUGCGAUGAAGGCCUUCGGGUUGUAAAGCACUUUUGGCAGGGAAGAAAUGGUUC
rnacentral:rRNA from 1 species